UGACAAUGAGGCAAUUCCCUUGUAACUUCAUUUUCUUUUGCUAUUGAUGCAGGUCAGAUGUAGACGAAGGGGGUGAGACUAUCAGCAUCAAUUACUCAAUUGCUGUACUCAAUCCUUUUCAGGUUCAUUAACUUAAAGGAGCACAUAACAGGUUAUUGAUGUGGGUGGUAAGGACUUCAGGUUGGGAGACCUCUGUGAUAUAUAUGAAGAACGUCAAAGUGGUGAAUGUGAAUCUGAUUCAUAAUAGCACAAGCACAUUUUGUUGACAACUAUUAAUUAGUUUAUUUAUUUUUUUUUUUUUUGAAGAUGGGAAUCUGCUCUAAGUUUGAGCUGCAAAAACAGUGUCACCACACAGCAUUUUGUUUAGAUACUUCCCUGACCAAUUUCCUUUUUUCAUAAUCUGUGUGAAGAUUUAUAAUAUCAUAUCUCCUACAUUACUACUAAUUAGAUUCCAUGACA